CAGAGCCAGUAUGUAUAUAAAGGUCGUUCGGCAGACGCUCUCCAUCAGUGUCCUUCUGCACAUCACACAGUGAGCACAUCCGUUCCGCUACAACACUUGCAUAAUCUUCAAAGUUUCGUCUCUAAAUCAACCAAGAUGCGUUUCUUCCUGAUUUUGUUGGCCCUCUGCUGCUUCCUGAGCGCCAGCCUCGCCCUCCCCCUGGCCAAAGGAAGAGCCACCUCCAGAGUUGCUGACGACAGAUAUUUCGUUUCCCGACAGGGCAUCAGGGGAUUCCGCCGCACAGAAUCUGGACGUCUCUACGUGCCCAAGAAAUUCCUCAGAUAAGGAGGAAAAAUAUAUGUGAGAAGAAGACUAUUAUCACAUAUAUGAAGAUCUCCUGUUAUUUAUUAUAUUUGCUGGGAGGUGUGAGAUGAUCCCAGGAUGUCCAUACUAUCUUAGUCUUGUUUAUAUCCAUACACCUAUAUAUAUUUUUUGUAACAUUUUAUAGCUCUAUUUUUAUAUCCAAUUAAAGACAUGAAACGUUUAA